rnacentral:ncRNA from 2 species
GGUCACGAGUGACCGGCGAGACGCCCUCCGCGUGCCGGUCCGGCAACCGCGCUCCCUGCGCACGGUGCCCCAGGAGGAAGACCGGCCCCGGCCGACCGGCCGUGGGAAGAGCAGGUC